rnacentral:rRNA from 1 species
AGCGAACGCUGGCGGCAGGCCUAACACAUGCAAGUCGAGCGCCCCGCAAGGGGAGCGGCAGACGGGAGAGUAACACGUGGGAACAUGCCCUUCAGUACGGAACAACCAAGGGAAACUUUGGCUAAUACCGUAUACGCCCGUAAGGGGAAAGAUUUAUCGCUGAAGGAUUGGCCCGCGUCUGAUUAGCUAGUUGGUGGGGUAAUGGCCCACCAAGGCGACGAUCAGUAGCUGGUCUGAGAGGAUGAUCAGCCUCACUGGGACUGAGACACGGCCCAGACUCCUACGGGAGGCAGCAGUGGGGAAUAUUGGACAAUGGGCGCAAGCCUGAUCCAGCCAUGCCGCGUGAGUGAUGAAGGCCUUAGGGUUGUAAAGCUCUUUCGUCAGGGAAGAUAAUGACGGUACCUGAAGAAGAAGCCCCGGCUAACUUCGUGCCAGCAGCCGCCGUAAGAC